rnacentral:rRNA from 1 species
UAGAGUUUGAUCCUGGCUCAGGACGAACGCUGGCGGCGUGCCUAAUACAUGCAAGUCGAGCGGACUUGAUGGAGUGCUUGCACUNCUGAGAGUUAGCGGCGGACGGGUGAGUAACACGUAGGCAACCUGCCCUCNAGACUGGGAUAACUACCGGAAACGGUAGCUAAUACCGGAUAAUUUAUUUCNCAGCAUUGUGGAAUAAUGAAAGACGGAGCAAUCUGUCACUUGGGGAUGGGCCUGCGGCGCAUUAGCUAGUUGGUGGGGUAAUGGCUCACCAAGGCGACGAUGCGUAGCCGACCUGAGAGGGUGAACGGCCACACUGGGACUGAGACACGGCCCAGACUCCUACGGGAGGCAGCAGUAGGGAAUCUUCCGCAAUGGGCGAAAGCCUGACGGAGCAACGCCGCGUGAGUGAUGAAGGUUUUCGGAUCGUAAAGCUCUGUUGCCAAGGAAGAACGUCUUCUAGAGUAACUGCUAGGAGAGUGACGGUACUUGAGAAGAAAGCCCCGGCUAACUACGUGCCAGCAGCCGCGGUAAUACGUAGGGGGCAAGCGUUGUCCGGAAUUAUUGGGCGUAAAGCGCGCGCAGGCGGUUCUUUAAGUCUGGUGUUUAAACCCGAGGCUCAACUUC